GUGCAGCAGUCGCGAAAACUCCGCAAUACGCGAAAGCGUGACGGGGCUACCCCGAGUGUCGUCCGCUGAGGACGACUUUUCCACGCUGUAAGGAGGCGUGGGAAUAAGGAGAGGGCAAGUCUGGUGUCAGCCGCCGCGGUAAUACCAGCUCUCCGAGUGGUAGGGACGAUUAUUGGGCUUAAAGCGUCCGUAGCCGGCUCAGCAAGUCUCCCGUUAAAUCCAACGAUUCAAUCGUUGGACUGCGGGAGAUACUGUUGAGCUAGGAGGCGGGAGAGGCCGACGGUAUUCCCGGAGUAGGGGUGAAAUCUUAUAAUUCCGGGAGGACCACCAGUGGCGAAGGCUGUCGGCUAGAACGCGCUCGACGGUGAGGGACGAAAGCUGGGGGAGCGAACCGGAUUAGAUUUGGAAAGGAGAAAUAUCCUUCCACUGAAGACCCGGGUAGUCC
rnacentral:rRNA from 1 species